rnacentral:misc_RNA from 1 species
ACACCUCAACUCCCAUGGUUCGCCAUGGUGAGCUUGGACUUUGGGGGUUUUGCUGGCCCAUGGUCAGCUCCUCUCAAAUGAAUUAGCCUGCCAGUGUUUGGUGGCAUCACAGGUGUGAUAAAUAUCUACGCUUGCGAUUGCCCACCAGGUAACCUUCAGCAAUGGGGGUUCGCUGGGGCUCAUAGACGUCUCUCCCUAAGCGAGGACAGUUUUUUAAC